rnacentral:lncRNA from 1 species
UGUAUGUUUUUCUGCGUGCUUCUCUGUGCUGCCUUUACAGCUCCAGGUAUCCUGCUCUAUGGYUCGUUUAAGACCAAGAUUUCCUUUGUGGGCCAGGAGUAAAGUCUGUAUUUCCCUCCUAUACAGAGAACGGUUGGAGGAGGAAGACAUAGCAUGGUUGACCAAAACCCAGACUCAUCUGGGCGUCAUGGGCAUCUCCYGCAGCAUCAGUCAGGACCUAAGGCAUGUAUUUAUUUCCUGGAGCACAGCCAUGGUGGUUUGUUCAGAAACAUUCCCCGGAGCCCGGCUCUGCUCCUGCCGCCRCCGUGCACGGAGGAACCUGCAAAGGGGACAGCAGCUCCACGAGCCGCAGGGUUUCACAGGAGUGGCCCAGCGACGGGGUGGCCAGGGCACAGACUGACAGAGCAGCUUUGCAUCUAUGCAAACCUGAUGACUCAGGCUGGUGGUCACCUGUUGCCAGCAUCCCUCUGUUGCCAAGAAGCCUGAACCAACAUCUCCAGCCGUCGUUCCAGGCAUCGCAGACUUGCACAGUCAGAGACAGCCACGGCCAGGCAGGCGGGGAGCAACCUCAUGGAAACCAAUUCUGUAUCGUCAAGGCAGAACCAUGAGGUUUCAGAGAGCUCCCACAACUCGUUACAACAGAGGAUUGAAGCCGCUUUAGAGCAGCUGAGUGCCAGCGCUUAUCCCGGCGAGCGCACAGCAUUCAGCUUUACCCAGCCUCAGGUAAGAGAGGGAAGGGAAAAACCUCCUCUUUGUGUAUAAUUUGCUUAAUCAAUCCCUUUGAAAACAGGUUUGAAACAAUGACAAAUGCCUGUGCAAUUUGUCUGUUCCCCCAAGAAUGGGGUAUUUAUAUGGGCUUGGAUGGGCAAAAAUGAAGACUGGGAAAGAUUCACCAACUCAAAUAGGAGAGGGAAAAUGGUGUUUUGGGCUGUUCGGUUUUGGCUGUUAACAUCUUAGCAUACCCUGCUCCAUCCUGACACUGCUUUACACCAGCACAAGCCCCUGUAAUAAUGACAAUGUCCCGUGCCUCCCCAGUUUGGUAAAGGCAGGGUUUGGGGUGAAGGAGAGCCCCUUUGCUCAUUCGGCUUGUUUGCCAAUAUCUCUCAACGCCCCGAAAUGUCAAGAGAAAGAUCAACYGAGUGGAACAUAAUCUCAAAGAGAAACACAGUAUUUUUUAAAAUGUCCUCACAGCAGCAAUCAUAAUAAAAAUACAAACCUGAGGUUUGUAAAAGUCUAG